rnacentral:rRNA from 1 species
GACAGAGGGUGCAAACGUUGUUCGGAAUUACUGGGCGUAAAGCGCGUGUAGGUGGCGAGGCAAGUCGGGUGUGAAAGCCCUGGGCUCAACCCAGGAAGUGCACUCGAUACUGCCUAGCUAGAGUCCCGGGGAGGUUGGUGGAACUCUCGGUGUAGAGGUGAAAUUCGUAGAUAUCGAGAAGAACACCGGUGGCGAAGGCGGCCAACUGGACGGUGACUGACACUGAGACGCGAAAGCGUGGGGAGCAAACAGG